rnacentral:rRNA from 1 species
AGUGAACGCUGGCGGUGGGCCUAACACAUGCAAGUCGAACGGCAGCACAGUAAGAGCUUGCUCUUACGGGUGGCGAGUGGCGGACGGGUGAGGAAUACAUCGGAAUCUACUUUUUCGUGGGGGAUAACGUAGGGAAACUUACGCUAAUACCGCAUACGACCUACGGGUGAAAGCAGGGGAUCUUCGGACCUUGCGCGAUUGAAUGAGCCGAUGUCGGAUUAGCUAGUUGGCGGGGUAAAGGCCCACCAAGGCGACGAUCCGUAGCUGGUCUGAGAGGAUGAUCGGCCACACUGGAACUGAGACACGGUCCAGACUCCUACGAGAGGCAGCAGUGGGGAAUAUUGGACAAUGGGCGCAAGCCUGAUCCAGCCAUACCGCGUGGGUGAAGAAGGCCUUCGGGUUGUAAAGCCCUUUUGUUGGGAAAGAAAAGCAGCAGGUUAAUACCCCGCUGUUCUGACGGUACCCAAAGAAUAAGCACCGGCUAACUUCGUG